AAAUUAUCCCACAGCCCAGGCUAGCCUGGGAGGCCUCCUGCCGCAAUAUGGACAGACAUGCUCUGGGCUCCUCCAGGAAGAUUGUUCUGCAACGCCUGACUUCCGUCGUGAGAGCGACCUUCCUUCAGCUUGCACGCGGGUCUGUUGAACCGAGAAGGUCUUACCUCUUGUUGACCCGGCCCGCAGCCCAGGCACCCGCGAGCAUUGAUUGACCCAGGCUGGCAGCGCGGGACCUGGAGGAUCCCCAGUGUGAAGAUUCUUACCGACCUGCUAUAGUAAUCACCGCCCGCUAGCCGCACCCCCCUAAACCUAGUGAAAUUGUUUAGUGAUGCCAACCGCGCUUUUAAUUUGCAAGACAUCAGACACAGAGGAUGAUGAGGUUCAAUAGGAAGGCAACCCUGCUACCACAUUCCAAAAAUUAUGCCAAGAGGGAUGCACUGAUCAUCAGCUACCACACUGUAUGCUGUGCAGAAGAGGAGCAGGACCUCCAUGUCAAGUCAUGAUUGACAGGCCCUUCUAUUGCAGUGCACAGACCAUGAACGGAGAAAGUCACAAUAUAGACUGUCACCAUAGCGUGAAUGCGUGAACUGCUGUAGAGAAUGUGGGAGAGGAGACCACUUGUACACAUUUAAGGACAGCAAAUGGAUAAACUACAAGUGACUUCCAGGUUUAUGCAGUUUCUAUUACCCCCUUCAUAGCCUCCCUAGGGCUGUCAGGUUCAUGGCAGCUGUAAAUACCUGGGUAUACUUAGGGAGGUCAGGGCUGAAGGGAGGACUGCAUCCUGCCUGCUCUGAAGGUAGCGUGUGGCUUAAUACAAUCUCUUCUUUAGCUUCUCCAAUUCCUCCAUCUACAGUUAGCCUUGCCUCUGGCUCCCCUUCCACAACGACUAUCCCCAAACUGCCUUCUCUGCAGUAAAUUUUCUUGGUGGCUGGUUGAAAAAGAUUCAGUGGUACAGAUUGAUUUCUCACCAGCGAGGGGAUGAGGGAUUACCAGAGGCACCCUGGUUAACGAGAUUGGGUGCAGAAUCUCUCAUGAGACCAACCCUCUCUGCCAGGGCUUUGCACCUUUCGCCCAUGACAUAUGGGUUUCAUUACAGAAAGAUUUUCCAGAUUAUAACUUUGAGGCAAUUGCCUGAUAAAAUUCUGCUCGGCUUUAAUGUAGAGAACAAUGUAAAGAUUAAGUAACUUUUUAAUGAAAUGGGAGAAACUCAUAAUGUUUGGUUUUCAAUUCCAAUGCAAACUACUUUAAAUAUUUCUGUGCCUCAACAUAAUUAAAAACAUUGUGAGGCGGAGAAAAGGUACAACAGGCUGUUUUCAGGAGACUCUAAUAUGACUGGCAGGGAACAAAGGAAAUGGCAUACCACCGUGGAAAGAGCAGGGCUUUUAGCACCGGACAGGCUCGGAAUCGAGCCCCAGCUCCUACAAUGACCACUGCAGGCAAGUCACUGAAGACAUCUUUCCGCGCUUCGGUUUCCUCAUUUUUUUUUUUUUUAAAUAAAAUUCACUCUUUUUAUUUUAUAUAUUUUUUAAGUGAGCUCUAUACCAAACACGGGGCUUCAAGUCACGACCCUGAGGAUCAAGAGUCGCAUGCUCUACCAACUGAGCCAGCCAGGGCCCCCUUGGGUUCUUCAUUUGUUCCAGGUGAAAUUAAUAAACAGGUCACAUAGGCAUUUAGUAAAUGCUAGCUGCUGUAUAACUAUCUUUUUCUUUCUUUCAUUUCAAACAAGAGUUUACUUAGGCAAAGAGACACUUGAUGGGACAACUAUCUAGGAUUCAUUUCUUUUUAGAGCAAUUUAUCUCUACUUAAAGACAAACAGUCCUACGUGCAACAGCUACGUACAAAAAAGUGAUACGACUGUGCUUGGUUUUACGAUAACAAAUGAAAAACAUUAAAAUUCUCCAAAUGAACAAGGUAUGCAAGGAUUUUUUUUGUUGUUGUUGUUAAAGUGAGAGCAAAAGAAUUUACUGAAAUACAAGCUAAUAAGAGCUGAAUGAGCAUGCCACUAAUGGGGAAAGCGAAUAUUUUCACUG